ensembl:miRNA
UCCCCUGUGUGUGUUCUCUGAUGGACAGUGAGGGCUGAUCUGUGGCAGAAGGAUUUCCCACACGCAUUACAUUCAUAGGGUUU